GAUAAACGCUGGCGGCGUGCCUUAUGCAUGCAAGUCGAACGGUACUGAUAAAUCAGGCUUGCCUGGAAUAUCAGGAGAGUGGCGAACGGGUGAGUAACACGUAAGUAACCUACCCCUAAGUAGGGGAUAACUCUGAGAAAUUGGAGCUAAUACCGUAUGUGGUGGUGAAGGUAAUGCUUCAUCCCUAAAGCCUUAGGGCACUUGGGGAGGGGCUUGCGUCCGAUUAGCUAGUUGGUAGGGUAAUGGCUUACCAAGGCGAAGAUCGGUAGCUGGUUUGAGAGGACGGUCAGCCACACUGGGACUGAGAUACGGCCCAGACUCCUACGGGAGGCAGCAGCAAGGAAUUUUGUGCAAUGGGCGAAAGCCUGACACAGCGACGCCGCGUGGGGGAUGACGGCUUUCGAGUUGUAAACCCCUUUUCCCAGGGAAGAAUAAUGACGGUACCUGGGGAAUAAGUCUCGGCUAACUACGUGCCAGCAGCCGCGGUAAUACGUAGGAGGCAAGCGUUAUCCGGAUUUACUGGGCGUAAAGAGGGCGCGGGCGGUUCUUCAAGUCGGAUGUAAAAUCUCCCGGCUUAACUGGGAGGGAUCAUUCGAUACUGUUGGGCUAGAGGACAGCAGAGGGAGGUGGAAUUCCCGGUGUAGUGGUGAAAUGCGUAGAUAUCGGGAGGAACACCAGUGGCGAAGGCGGCCUCCUGGGCUGUGCCUGACGCUGAGGCCCAAAGGCGUGGGGAGCGAACAGGAUCAGAUACCCUGGUAGUCCACGCAGUAAACUAUGGACACUAGGUAUAGGGAGUAUCGACCCUCUCUGUGCCGAAGCUAACGCUUUAAGUGUCCCGCCUGGGGAGUACGGCCGCAAGGCUA
rnacentral:rRNA from 1 species